GGACUGUCCCAUCAACGAGUGUACAAAUGCUGGCUGAGGAGAACGAGGUGCUAAGGCGGGAAAAUGAGAGCCUGAAAAGAAAACUGGAGCCAGCUGAGAAAGCAUUGAGUUGACAUCGGCUCAGGUGUCCUUGUAGAAUCGACUGUGCUCCAACGACUGGAGAGAUCUUGCCAGGGUGGGGCAGGAAAGUUUGCUCGGUCUCUUUUACGUCACCUGUUCACAGACGACGAGUUGCGUGGGAAGUCCCUCUUUGGUUUAAGAACCAACUUGCAAAAAGAUAAGGAACCAAAGGAAGCUCUUGAUGCGACCCGUGUCCACGCCAUUACAGGGUAGACAUGCAGCAAGUUCAAGGAGGCCAGCGUUGUCUACAUAAAGAACAGCCUGACUGCGAUGCUGGCGCGGGAAGUAAAAUAAGUCGUAUGUAGCGCCCAUACCAUCACAUACCAUACCAUCCGCACACGCCGAAAGUCACCGGAAGGUCAAGCGACUUCUGGGACUUUGUUCCUCAUUCUCAUUAUCCACUUCACAUAUGUAUG